rnacentral:rRNA from 1 species
CCCUUAGAUGUUCUGGGCCGCACGCGCGCUACACUGAUGCAUUCAACGAGUCUAAAACCUGCUCUGAUAGGGGUGGGUAAUCUUUUGAAUGUGCAUCGUGAUUGGGAUAGAUGAUUGCAAUUUUUCAUCUUCAACGAGGAAUGCCUAGUAAACGCAAGUCAUCAGCUUGCAUUGAUUACGUCCCUGCCCUUUGUACACACCGCCCGUCGCUCCUACCGAUUGAAUGAUCCGAUGAAUAUCAUGGAUUGAGGAUGCAAGUAGGUUAGCCUAUCUUCAUCUUCGAGAAGUGAAGUAAAUCUUAUCAUUUAGAGGAAGUAAAAGUCGUAACA